rnacentral:rRNA from 1 species
CCUACGGGAGGCAGCAGUGAGGAAUAUUGGUCAAUGGGCGGGAGCCUGAACCAGCCAAGCCGCGUGAGGGAAGAAGGUACAGCGUAUCGUAAACCUCUUUUGUCAGGGAACAAAGGCGGGGACUAGUCCCCGGAUGAGGGUACCUGAAGAAAAAGCAUCGGCUAACUCCGUGCCAGCAGCCGCGUUAAUACGGAGGAUGCGAGCGUUAUCCGGAUUUAGUGGGUUUAAAGGGUGCGCGGGGGGCCUGUUAAGUCAGCGGUAAAAGCCCGGGGCUCAACCCCGGCGAGCCGUUGAUACUGGCGUGCUGGAGUUGGAGAGAAGUACGCGGAAUGCGCGGUGUAGCGGUGAAAUGCUUAGAUAUCGCGCAGAACCCCGAUUGCGAAGGCAGCGUACCGGCUCCACACUGACGCUGAGGCACGAAAGCGUGGGUAUCGAACAGGAUUAGAUACCCGAGUAGUC